rnacentral:rRNA from 1 species
AUUGAACGCUGGCGGCAGGCCUAACACAUGCAAGUCGAGCGGAUGAAGGGAGCUUGCUCCUGGAUUCAGCGGCGGACGGGUGAGUAAUGCCUAGGAAUCUGCCUGGUAGUGGGGGAUAACGUCCGGAAACGGGCGCUAAUACCGCAUACGUCCUGAGGGAGAAAGUGGGGGAUCUUCGGACCUCACGCUAUCAGAUGAGCCUAGGUCGGAUUAGCGAGUUGGUGGGGUAAAGGCCUACCAAGGCGACGAUCCGUAACUGGUCUGAGAGGAUGAUCAGUCACACUGGAACUGAGACACGGUCCAGACUACUAAGGGAGGCAGCAGUGGGGAAUAUUAGACAAUGGGCGAAAGCCUGAUCCAGCCAUGCCGCGUGUGUGAAGAAGAUCUUCGGAUUGUAAAGCACUUUAAGUUGGGAGGAAGGGCAGUAAGUUAAUACCUUGCUGUUUUGACGUUACCAACAGAAUAAGCACCGGCUAACUUCGUG